AACGCUAGCUACAGGCUUAACACAUGCAAGUCGAGGGGUAACAAGAGAAAAGCUUGCUUUUCUUGUUGACGACCGGCGCACGGGUGAGCAACGCGUAUCCAACCUGCCUAUAACUAGGGAAUAACCUUGCGAAAGUAAGACUAAUACCCUAUGAUUUCCUUUGAUGACAUCAGAUUAGGAAUAAAGAUUUAUCGGUUAUAGAUGGGGAUGCGUCUGACUAGCUUGUUGGCGGGGUAACGGCCCACCAAGGCAACGAUCAGUAGGGGUUCUGAGAGGAAGGUCCCCCACAUUGGAACUGAGACACGGUCCAAACUCCUACGGGAGGCAGCAGUGAGGAAUAUUGGUCAAUGGGCGGAAGCCUGAACCAGCCAAGUAGCGUGCAGGAUGACGGCCCUAUGGGUUGUAAACUGCUUUUAUACAGGAAUAAAGUUAGCCACGUGUGGUUAUUUGUAGGUACUGUAUGAAUAAGGACCGGCUAAUUCCGUGCCAGCAGCCGCGGUAAUACGGAAGGUCCAGGCGUUAUCCGGAUUUAUUGGGUUUAAAGGGAGCGUAGGCCGUCUGUUAAGCGUGUUGUGAAAUGUAGAUGCUCAACAUCUGAAUUGCAGCGCGAACUGGCAGACUUGAGUGUGCGCAACGUAGGCGGAAUUCGUGGUGUAGCGGUGAAAUGCUUAGAUAUCACGAAGAACUCCGAUUG
rnacentral:rRNA from 1 species